GAAUGUGAGGGUGAUCUGGCUGUGAUAUCUGUCACCCCACUGAUCAUCAGGGUUGAUUCAGCUGAUCUGGCUGGCUGGGCGGGCAUCACCUUCCUCCCUCAAUGCUCCAUGUGUGUCCCUUCUGAACCUGUGUACUUGGUAGACAAGGGGGACCCCUGAUGGACGAGGACCCUUUCCCCCACCAAGGGUGUCUCUGUAGCUGCACUGUCCUGCUAGAAGCUCCAAACAAGCUCUCAGAAGAAAUUCUACUCAUAGUUUUGCAGAAGAAGAAAUAAAAAUUGAGAGGCUAACCAAACUUCCCAAGGUU
rnacentral:snRNA from 1 species